AUGCUCUGUAGUUGAAAGGUCCGCCGCCAUAGGAUGGGUCUGCGGCCGAUUAGGUUGUUGUUGGGGUAACGGCCCAACAAGCCUGUAAUCGGUACGGGUUGUGGGAGCAAGAGCCCGGAGAUGGAUUCUGAGACACGAAUCCAGGCCCUACGGGGCGCAGCAGGCGCGAAAACUUUACAAUGCGGGAAACCGUGAUAAGGGAACUCCGAGUGCCCGUUAAAUCGGGCUGUCCACCAGUUUAAAAAACUGGUGAAGAAAGGGCCGGGCAAGACCGGUGCCAGCCGCCGCGGUAAUACCGGCGGCUCGAGUGGUGGCCACUAUUACUGGGCUUAAAGCGUUCGUAGCUGAUUUGUUAAGUCUCUGGGGAAAUCUGCCGGCUUAACCGGCAGGCGUCUCAGGGAUACUGGCAGACUAGGGACCGGGAGAGGUGAGGGGUACUCCAGGGGUAGGAGUGAAAUCCUGUAAUCCUUGGGGGACCACCUGUGGCGAAGGCGCCUCACCAGAACGGCUCCGACAGUGAGGGACGAAAGCUGGGGGAGCAAACCGGAUUAGAUACCCGGGUAGUCCCAGCUGUAAACGAUGCGCGUUAGGUGUAUCGGUGACCACGAGUCACCGAGGUGCCGAAGAGAAAUCGUGA
rnacentral:rRNA from 1 species